rnacentral:lncRNA from 1 species
GCAAAGUGAUUGAUGGAUAAACUUGACUUGAUAAUUCGGGUUGAGCUUAAGUCGAGGGAUAAAUCAGAAGCAUUGCUUGAGGGAUCUUUCACGAACAUAUAUAGAUUCGAGAGAUGAAGGGUCCAAUUGAUACUUUAAAAUGUUUUAUCAUCUUGAAUAAGUUUUAGAAGAGACAUUUGGAAACUUUUCAAUUGCACUUCAAACAUUCUUACAUUUUCAAAUUACCCUUAUCUUUACAGUUAAAAUUC